CAAACACGUUUGCCGGGAUUCGUGUAAACGUAAACAACAAUAAUUAUUAUGUGAUUUUCGAUAACGAUUCGGAAUUAAUGAGUUUUAACCGCGCACGCGCAUAUCCGUGAAAAAAAUAAACAAUACAGAUGUCGGGUUUUUUAAAGUGUUGAAGAGCGAGCCGCCGAGUAAUUCUCUUUCCGGAGGCUGGCGGACGCGACGUCUAGGCGAUCCAAUAUCAUUGUGGCAGACAUAUCAUUAUACGUUAUAAUAUAAACAUAAAUCUAUAUUAUAUUGUUUGACCCACUACACUAAUUUGCAUGCGAUUUUUUAAGGGGAGUUUUUUUUUGUGUUAAUAUUCAGCCGUUUAUAUAAACACUUCACACUUUAAUCAAUAGUAAAGAGAUUAAAUUUUUUUUACAAGAAUCAUAGUUGUACUGAUUUAUAAGAUUUACUGUGCUUUGAAACUAUACAUAGUAUAAACUAUAAAAGCUUUUUUCAGACUACAAAAAUUGAAUUCAAAAAUAUCAAUAGUGUGCAGUGAACAUAUCACCAAACGGGUAGUAUUAUUCACAACCUAAGCAUCAAUAGAUGAUACAAAAAAGGAAUCCUUUUUUGUGUUCUUUGGAAAAUAAAAACAUUUGUCUCCUUUUGUCAUAGUUUUAUUUUUCUACAGGCUAGUCACUCGUCAACGAACAAGGCUCUUGCAAUGUUAUAUGUAUAAAACAUUGUAGGCAAAGGCCAAUUCCGGCGGAAUGCAUUCGAUCAGUCUUACAGAGAUAUUAUCACGACGAGGGAUUUCGUGAUUUCGGUGUUGUGUGAUGGCUUUUAUCGUCCGGCUAGACUUGCCACGCGAAUGUAGUUGUCUGCAGAGAAUGAAAGGUAUUAUAGUAAUGUAUUGUGUUUAUCAUUGACGGAGAGUCGAAGAGUCGUAUAUCAUAAUAUUAUAGUGCCACGCGCUAGGAAAAAUCACUUUGCAACGCCUGCAGUGGAUCUUCGGAUGGUAAAACAUAUUAUAUAGUGACAUAUACUAUAAUCGUAAUCCAAACUCGAGGGAGUUCGCUCAAGAGCGCUGACCCUGUGUGCCAGAAAAAUGUCCCAAAACAUCCAAAGUUACUGUGUUCCAAUGUUUCCGUUUUAAUUAAUUAAAAUAUAUUAGCAGUAAGCAAUGUCGUGGUUGUUUUUGAUGCAUAUGGGUGUAUACAUCAUAACGUAUAGGAUGUGCAUGCCGAUACGCAACUUAAGUUGAUCGUCUGGUCUGUGUUUGAUGGUGAAACUGUAAACUGCUGACCGUAGAGCUAGUGACAUUCGAGCUAUCUCGCGAGCGUGUAAGUUUCCAUUUCGAACCGGAAGUCCAGACACAACCAUGUACGCAUCACCAAUGCUUGCCUUGUACACGUCAAAAUUCUCUAUUAUAGAAUCGAAACAUGUAUAAAGAUCGUUGAGCAGAUCUACUACUUGAAGUGGAGUGCUUUGGGCGCUCAGAGAUGUGAAACCCACGAUGUCACUGAAGUAGAUUGUCACGUUAUCAUAAGUUUCAGCCACUACAGAUUGUCCCAAAA